UACGUAGGGUGCAAGCGUUAAUCGGAAUUACUGGGCGUAAAGCGUGCGCAGGCGGUUUUGUAAGUUUGUCGUGAAAGCCCCGGGCUCAACCUGGGAAUUGCGAUGAAGACUGCAAGGCUUGAAUCUGGCAGAGGGGGUAGAAUUCACGUGUAGCAGUGAAAUGCGUAGGGAUGUGGAGGAACACCGAUGGCGAAGGCAGCCCCCUGGGUCAAGAUUGACGCUCAUGCACGAAAGCGUGGGGAGCAAACAGG
rnacentral:rRNA from 1 species